rnacentral:rRNA from 1 species
UACGAAGGGGGCAAGCGUUGUUCGGAUUUACUGGGCGUACAGGGAGCGUAGGCGGUUGGAUAAGCCCUCCGUGAAAUCUCCAGGCUUAACCUGGAAAGUGCAGAGGGGACUGUUCAGCUAGAGGAUGGGAGAGGAGCGCGGAAUUCCCGGUGUAGCGGUGAAAUGCGUAGAGAUCGGUAGGAACACCAGUGGCGAAAGCGGCUCUCUGGAACGGUACUGACGCUGAGACGCGAAAGCGUGGGGAGCGAACAGG